UGGAAGACUAGUGAUUUUGUUGUUGUACGUUAAUUCACAUGACAACAAGUCACAGUCUGCCUCA
rnacentral:pre_miRNA from 1 species